rnacentral:tRNA from 1 species
GCCUGGGUGGCUCAGUUGGUUGAGCCUCUGACUUUGGCUCAGGUCAUGAUCUCACAGUCUGUGAGUUCAAGCCCUGCAUCAGGCU